AAAUAAAUAAUAUUGACCAUAAACCAGGGAACCAAUAUUUGACCACUUGCAUUUCUCUAAUGCAUCCAAAGCGUAUCCUGACAAUCUUUUGACAAGUUUUAUUUUAGGGAGGUGUUUUAAACUGAUAGUAGUACAAUGGCUUUAAACUGAAUCAUUCUUCUAAGGUCACCACGUGGUGUGAUGGACUGCUUUUGUCAACACUUUCAUUUCCUUUGUCAAUCAACAAAAGUAAUUGCGUCACACUUUUGUGGGCUGCUGUGACAAUGAGACGUUACAUGUACUGUUGACAAAAGUACACAAAGUUUGACAAUUUCCAUCACCUAUAUGAAAAGCGAUAAGUUGUCACGGAGCUGUAGCUUUACCGAUAAUGUGCGUGGAAACUGUGGUGCGUCAUCCUAACCCUAUACCCUCCCAAUGUUUGUUUCACUCCUUUUAACCUGUUGCUGAACUAAAAAUAAUAAUAAUAAUAAUAUCACUAAAACAUACAUGUAAAGCGGAAAGAUAACAGCACGUAGCUAGUUCGCGCAGCAGACAAAAUUGGUUGCACGAGCUAACCCUUUCACGCGCCGGCGGGAAUUUAUUUCUCGGCACUGGCUUGGCAUGACAGAAAAAAACAAAGCAAAGACAGGAGCAAUGGAAGAUGUAACAAAAGUCCCGCAAACUACUACAAAAGAAACUCCUCUUCAACUACAGUGAUGUGUGAGUGUUAGCGGUAUCCGGUGUGGCUGGACGGGUGUUAGCCAGUUUCAUCCCAAAUCUCCACCCAACAUAGCUGCUGCCCAGAGAUUAACUCUACCACAUAGAUCUUUGUCUCUCUGGAAGCGAUUAAACCAGAGGGGCAGCCUGAAACGAUUACAGAUAACAUUGAUGAAGUCCCAUCGUUUGAAGUCCAGCCUUUUCCUGGGUCUCAUAUGCUUGUGCAAAUGUUUCUUUUUCCUCCUUUGGCCAAGUCUGUAAGGCUUAAACUUAUGUGGCACACAGGUCGUGGAGUGAGCUUUGGGAGUCACCACAAGGUCGGCCUUCCUCCCAGAUAACUCUUUUCCCCUGAGGGGGAGUGAGCGAGAGGUUCUUGAAGUUGUCAUGGAGAUGCAACCUUUGCUAAACUAAAAGUGAUCCCAUGGAAGUCAGAUCAUUAUCAGUGCAGACUUGGAAAAUUACAACAUGGCCUCUAAAAGGAUUCAUUUGUUAUUCAAAUUAA